GGGGGAUUAGCUCAGUUGGGAGAGCACCUGGUUUGCAUCCAGGAGGUCACCGGUUCGAGCCCGGUAUCCUCCACCA
rnacentral:tRNA from 2 species